UUAGCAGCUGCUGGAACUAUUUGUCCUGAGGGUCUUCCCUUCAAGAUUUCCUGAUGUGGCACCAGCUUCCCCAGUGCCCAGCAGUUGAGGCAAGAAACUGACGUUGAUGGGACUAAAUUUUGUAGGAUGAAGCACCAUCAUCCCCUGGCUGACCGAGGGCAUCCAGCAGCUCACCUGUGAAGGCCAUGGACAGCAGCAGUGCCAGGAACGUGAAGAGCAGAAACACAAAGCAGGCUGUAAGGAGGACUGUGUGUGGGUGAGAACACAGAGACUCUCCUUUCCUUCCCACUGCAGUUUACUUACAUGUUGCAUGAAAUCUGCCCUUUCUAUCAAGACAGCAGAUGAUGGCAGGGGGUAGGAGGAGGUCUUCACUUGGCGGGGCUUCCACACCAGAGGCAGGAAUUCAAGCCAGGACUUGCAUCUCUGAGACAGCUGAAUGUCUUUUCUGAUCUGGCUGCCAAUUCCAAGGCCCAGCUUUCCUGCACGACCUCUCCAAAGUGACAGCUUCUAGAAAAGGAGUUCAUGAGCUGCUGCUCUGCCAGGGCCAGGAUGCCAGGAGCCACUGGCAUUCACAGAGCCAGGCAGGAUCUACCCUGUGCUUCUUGGGCGCCUGUACCCACCGCAGAUGGCUCCUCCCUGCCCUGCAUAAGGUUCUCUGACAACUCGCUUUAUCAGUUAAGGAAUCUUCAUCACGAAGUCUUCUUCUUCCCUUCCAUUUAUUUAUGGGUUAUACAUCCCAUAGUGUUAAGUGUCAGUUGCUCAGCCAUGUCUGUAGCCUGCCAGGUUCCUCUGUCCAUGGAAUUCUCCAGGCAAAAAUACUGGGUGGGUUGCCAGUCCCUUCUCCAAGGGAUUUUCCCAACCCAGGGACCAAACUCAGGUCUCCUGCAUUGCAGGCAGAUUCUUUACUGUCUGAGCCACCAGGGAAACCCAUAUAUCUCAUAGUAUCUGAUAUGAUAUUAUUUAUGCUGUUCUGGUAAAAACGAAAUACAUACACAUGUAAGAGCUAUGAAACACAAAUAGUGUCAUUUUGGUGAUUUUACAUCUGCAUUAAAUGCUCUUAUAAUUGCAUUUAAAACUGUCAUUAUAGGGAAUUCUCUGGCAGUCCAGUGGUUAGAACUCAGUGCUCUCAUUGCUGGGAUUCUGGGUUUAAUUCCUGGACAAGGAACUAAGAUCCCACAAGCCAAAAAACCCCCACAAAAAUCUGUCAUUAUAUAAUACUAAGGUGAAUGAUAAAAUUUAUGCUACUAACUUUAUUUUUAAAUACGUAUUUGUUACAGCAUGUGGGAUCUAGUUCCCUGACCAGAGAUUGUACCUGGGCCCCCUGCAUUGGGAUCAUGGAGUCUGAGCCACUGGACCGCCAGUGAAGUUCCUAUGCUACUAACUUAAAAUUGUUAGUAAAAAAUUUUUUUUUGUUUACUUAAAAUGACAUUAAAUAGCAAAUGAAAAAUACUAUGACAGAUCCAAAGAGACUGCAGAAGAAAGGGAAAAGCUUUCUCUUUCAAUACCUUGAACAGUUUUAUCCCAGCUUUUUGAACAAGAUGCUCUGCGAUUUCAUUCUGCAGCUGAGCCUGGCAAGUCCUGGGGUGAUCUGUGGAUCAUGAGGGACACAGCGCUGGCCAUGUGGCAGAUUAAAGGGAGAAUGCCAUUAAUCUAUCCGUAUCUGUUUUAGUUCCCAGUUUACAGUGGGGGUUGAGGAAGAAAUUUGUUGCUGAUACAUGAUAGAAAAACAGGAAGUGGAUAAAUCCCAUCUCUAUUCCCGGCCUUGGGCUUGUUACCAGGAUGAUAAAGUGAUCAGCAUCCUAAAAAGAUCCUUCACUGCUCUGCGAGCUUGUGACAGAUGGUGCCACCUGGCCACACGUGUAAGCCAGGUGUUCAGUGACACAGGAGCCCCUGUCAUGCAAGCCUCCUGCCUUGGAGCAAGGCUGAGAGAGGGGGCUGGGGCAAGAACAUCCCUCAGGACCACCCAGAGGAGAGCAUGAGGACCUGCCCCCUGGGUGUGGCCAGGGCUCACAGCCCACUCCACACUCUCCAGCGUUGACAGCUGAACUCUUCAUCCCUGAGGCUUCCAUGUCCUCACUUAAGGCACGAGCAUAAUUAUAAGACUCUCCUAGGAGACUUGUUAAAAUGAUUAAAUGUCAUAAGGCACGUAAAGCACCUAACACAGGGUCUGCUACACGAUAAAUGCUCUGUAAGUGUUGGCCCUUAUCAUCAUCACCAUUAUUCUCCUCCACUGUCAGGGAAGGGGUGUUGUUGUUUAGCUGCUAAGUCAUGUUAGGCAUGUGGCUUCCCUGUUAUCUCAGACACUCCCCGGCCCCCAGCCCCGGAGUUCAAAUAGAGAACUGAAGAAACGAUGAAGGAGGAAGACCUGGUGUGUCCCGUGGACUGGGAAUCAGCCGCCAUGGGAGACAAGUAAACCCGCCCUCACUCCUGAGCGCAUCUGCAGCCCGGCUUCACUGGCGCCAGCCUCUGCAUCACCACCACCAAGGUCUCAGGCUCACUUUCGCUCUCACCCUGGGACACGUGAUUCUCAGAUUCCCUUUGGCCACUCUGGACCCAGGAAGUCAGAAUCUCUGCCAACGUGACCUGGGAAUCUGCAUUUCCAACCAACUCCUCCGGGGACUGUGAAGCAGGCGGUCCACCCGCCAUUCUUUUUAUAAGCGGUGGCUGGAGAGUCUUCAGCCCAGUCUUCCUUAGAGCCUGUUUGCUCAGGGAAGUGUGAGGUGCUGGGGCCACGCUGGGCUGUGGGAUUUCACUGGGAGGGAAGUCACCAGAAUGACCCACGUGAGGGCCUCUUUAUCCCUCAGUGCUAAUAAGGACCACCCAAACCACAGCCAGGGAUUGGGAUGCCCGCCCCUAUUCCCCUGCGUCCCAGGAGAGCAGUCGGGGUGAUGAACACCCUCUAAGACAGUGACUCAGUUUCCCACUGACUUUGCUUGGGCCAGGACAGGUCACCGACAGCAGUGACUGCCUCUAAUGAACACCACCAUGCCUUCAAGUUUGCUGCUGCUGCUGCUGCUAAGUUGCUUCAGUCGUGUCCGACUCUGUGCCACCCC